UACGUAGGUGGCAAGCGUUGUCCGGAUUUACUGGGCGUAAAGAGCGCGCAGGCGGUCGAUUUAGUCGCGUGUGAAAGCCCCCGGCUCAACUGGGGAGGGUCACGCGAUACUGAUCGACUCGAAGGCAGGAGAGGGUAGUGGAAUUCCCGGUGUAGAGGUGAAAUUCGUAGAUAUUCGCAAGAACACCAGUGGCGAAGGCGGCUCACUGGCCCGAUACUGACGCUGAGGCACGAAAGCGUGGGGAGCAAACAGG
rnacentral:rRNA from 1 species